UGCUGCUGCUGCUGCUGCGAGCUCUCUUUAUUUUGAAUUGCUGCUCGUCCUCGGCGAAGCCGUUUGCCGCUACAGUGCAUUGCAUGGGAAGAUCAAAGACGGCCGAGCCUCUGUGAAGUCUGCACAGAUGCAGCAGUCAGCGGGGGUCCGUGGCUCGCCAGAGCCACGCACACGCCUGGAGAAUUCCCACUUCAGAGCCUGCCAGCCCGCGCGCUGUCAAAGUCUUUUUAGCCGCUCCUUUCCCGGGGACGAGAGCGCCAGCCUUAACCCUUUUGCCCACAGCUUUCCCGGCCCGGGAUGACGAUGAUGGAGAUGGCAUGGAAAGUGGCAUGAAUUGAAGUCACCUUUUUUUUUUGCUGCGAUCAGACCGAUGUGUGGUUUUACGAUGUAGCGCGUGGCAUGAGUUUGAUAUGUAUGGGGUAUUGUCUGGCAGCUGAGAGUUGAUGUGAUUUUUUGGGGGGGGAAAAAACUGUCCAAUGAAAUGUUGAUACAGGUGGAAGUUGAGAAAAUAAAAUGGUUCCUUAGGUGAAAGUGUUAUCCUGCAUUAUUUAUUUCUCUUGGGGACCUGACAACAUCUUUGUUUUAUUAUUAUUUUCUUUUUUAUUUGUGACUGCCAGCAUAUUUUCUCCCACCAAAACAAAAUUGUGCCACUCAUUGUUGAACCUUUACUGCUGCAAACAAUGCGUGUAUGGACAAAAUAAUGCAGAGGGCCACCCUGAUUAAACCAACCUUGCCGUCGCAUCUGCAGCUCCCACGGUGUCGAACUCACGUACACGUUUGAUCAACUGUCCGGCGUCUGUAUAAGGAGGGCCUUUCCCACCCGCUUGUGGGGAAUCUAGACACCGCCGGCAGGCUUUGACACAGUCACUCGGUGGCUCUCCCUAGUCCAAGUAUGCACCGGGAUCCUUUAUGCACACGUGGAAGCAGUCAGGAUGGCGGGCUGAACUUCCUCUUCUCGGAUGUCAAAGAAUGUACAGUGUCCAUUGUAAGUAUGAGUCGAGUUUAUUUUGCAGGUCACAGAAUGUCAUUGGGAAUGUCACCUCCAGAGACGAAAAACAGCGUGCGUUUAUUCAGAUACAGUACACAAAUUGUAUAUAUACGCACGAUUAUACAUGCACAGCUCAUUUGUCAAUCCACUGCUGGAUGAAGGCCGCCCCAUACCUUGCUGGGCAGUAAGAUAUAUAUAUGUGACCAUAUUUCACUAUGCUGGGCAGUGCUUCGUCGAUGAAGGUGAAGGGCAAGGCAGAAAGAACAGUGUGGUUGUUGUUGUUGUUGUUAUUAUUGUUGUUUUGCUCCACGACCCUCUAACUGCCCCGCAACGUCGAUGUAAGAUCUCACUUUUUUGCGCACGCCGGUGGCCCAUCCCAUCCCAUCCCAGACGACGGCACCGGAGCUCUCAACUCUGCUCAUCUUCUGCGACGUGGCGAGAUCGGGCGCAUCGCCGGGCGAUUUCAGUCGCUGGCACACAGUGGCGUGCAAUUAUAAUUUGCACGAAAUACUUUUUUUUCUGGGUGUCUGCAGUUAAAAAAAAAAGUGGGGUAGGAGGGGUGGGGUACUCAUUAUGCCAUAUAUAAACACCAUGAAACCCACUGCGGAUGGAUGUGUAAAACCUCUGAUCAGAGCUUUGGAAUUUUAACGCAGUGAGGAACAAAGCGCUUUAAGCCCC